CCCCCUCCCCCUGCUUCUCCCCUCCCGAUGUUAAUUUUGAAUUAAUUGGCCGCACCCUCACGCCUGGCCUCGCGCGUACGAAUCCGGCCUACGAUGGUACCUCGCAUUGGUUGGCCUCCCUCCCCAGCCGAAUUGAUUAGCCAUUUUGGUGGGGGAGUGGGUGGAUUGAUCUCUGUUCCUGCGUUUGCUGCUGCAGCGGUCACCACCAAUGCAGCUUCGGUCAAUCACGGCGAUGUUUUUCCCCACCAAUGCCCCGGUGUUUCGCUGCAUCUGCCCUGACAGCGAGGGGUUUGCUAGGGUACUGGCAAGGUUCAACGUCCCUUGACUCCUUUGCUGGCGGUCUCCUCAGGGAGUCAGGGUGCGGUCUUGAGUCCUGGGCUCACUUCAUUGUUACUUGUGGAUAUGGACCGUGAUGCCCAUGCCGACAUUGCUAUUUGCUGGUCGAAAUAAAUAAUUGAUCAGUGUUCACGACCCGUACGUACAAUCAUGCUUUGUAAGCUUGUGACCCCAGCCAGUUACCUGUACUUUGUCUGAACUAUUGCUUUCAGGAAAGCAGGACGCCUUGCUUUUAUAAAAACAACACUGCGUUAGUCGUUUUUGAAUCAAAGUUGGAUAAGUUGGGUGUUUUCGUGUAAAAAGACAACUCAGCUGUCAAAACCUUAAUGGUUCGUUGAUAAAAAAAAAACCUUAAAGGUUUGUAGGCUUUGGAGCUGAACCCAGUUUCUAGUGCUGUAGGGUUUGCAUAUAAUUACAGCACCGUUGUGAUAGUUGAGUGCUUGCAAGAGCAGCACCGAAGGAAUACAUUGGGUCUUAAUUUCUUAAUCCUGGAGUAGAGAGUUAUUAUUAGCUUAAUCUCUUGAUCCUAGACUAGUUUCUUUAGCUUCAAAUGAUACAUUUAUGUUUUUGUAUGUGCAUAUGUGGUAGCUAUAACGUCCUAAGUAUACAUCGUAAUCAUGAAUUUAAAUUUUCUUAUGGUAAUAUUCAUAUAUAUAUUUUACUACAGAUAGGGUCUACAGUGGCCAUACUUAAUCCUUUUCCAUAUAUCCUUGUUACCCGUCAGUUUUGCUUUUGCAUGUCUUGUGUGGUCAGUGUCAUUCUUCACUUCCUUGAGAUGUCACACCUUGCUCUCCCUCACCUGUGUCAAUUCAAUAUUUAACAUCUUCUUUUGACAUAUUUCAAGCAUCACUCAUUGCUUCUUUUCUUACCUAAUUGCUAUAGGGACCUAGAAGUGACUGUUUGAAACAAGAAAUUCCGUGUUACCUACAUUUUCUCCUAACUGACAACUAUGUUGAAAAUGUGAUACAGUUUCCUUUCUGAUACCUGUGCUGUGAUCUUAUCAUCUAUUGAAUAUGGUUUCUCCGAUCAGCAUCUGGAAAUUAUUCAGAAUGACGGGCUCUCAAGUUCCAUAGAGUUCUAUAAAAUUUGUUUGCUGUACUGGCCGUUUCCAGUUUCUAGAACAAACAGUAACAGAAAAGGAUCGAACUAGGUCUACUGCCAUUUGGAUACUGCCUUGUGUAACUGAUGUAAUGUUGAUCAAUAUUAUUGUGUUAUCUAGUAAUUUACUCUAUUUGUUUCAGUGGAUUUAUGUUCAAGCCUGUUGACAUUGUGCAAUGUUAUUUUUCACCUGUUCAAUUAAGUACAUGUUAAACCUAAUGCGUCCAAAAAAUAAUAAUUUUCAUUUUACAGUAUCACCUAAACUGGCUAAACAUGUUGACAUAUUUUUAGAUUGAACACCGGUUGUGGUUUGUACUUUUGUUCCAUGAAUCUUCUGGAAAUGCAGUGUGUUUAAGUUGAUAAUAGGUUAUAGAUACAACGUUUUGGCCUGUUUGGCACCGCUAUAAAUUUCUGAAAUUUGCAGACCGCUGCUCAAUGAGACAUUGUUGGAGAUAUUCUAGAUCGUCCCUAAGUUGUUAAAGAGAGACUCGUGCUCCCGAACAUAGCAGCCAGCCUGUGAAGGAGGAAAGUGCAGCAGUACUCUUGACAAGGCCUAUUGACUCAUCCUCACCAGCAAAAUGUGUCAUAGAGAUGCAUCCAAUAAUACAGCUCAUACGUCCAAGAAGACACAGGAUAUAAACAAAGCGAAUUAAAGUGCAUAUGCCACAUAAGUUGAAACGGCAUGGAAAGGGACUGCCUGCUCCUGCUCCUCCCAUGGCGAAUGACCACGACCCCCCAGAGCAGCAUGCAGUCUACUUCUACGUCACGAGUGUUCCAUGCAGGGUAAAGCACACACACGGUUGGGGGAGGCGGCCAUGCCCACCUUUCUUCUGCUGCUAAUUAAAACUCAUCUUUGUUAGCUGCUGCUGCCGCUGCUGUUCGUUCGUGCAUGUGCACCUCGUUUUCCCCCACCUGCAAGAAAAUUUUAUGUGUCAGGCCCAAGAAUUGUCCUCUAUCUCCGUUGCUUUUCAGGUAAGUCACUGGAUCACUUCUAUGUGGGGGAAAAGCCAUCGGCAAUCAAUCAUCACAGUUGGGGUCCUGGGGAGAAAGAGGUGGCACCAGAUGUUCGUAUUCCAGGACAGAGGGCAUCUCCCCUUUUGUUUACCCGGAGCAGCAAGCUGCUAGCUAGCAAUUUCCAAUCACAAAUCUUUGCUUCUCCAAUCCCGGACGGAGCACGUUGCCGCCGCUGGACCUGUCCGCGAUCAGUGAAGAACCGGGGCUUUCUAUAAUGACACAGGUUUUUGGAGCAAUUAGCACAUCCCCGCUUGUUUCGUAUCGCAACGAUUAAAACCAACCGGUGCGUGUGCGUGCCCGUGGGGGUUAAUGUCACCAUCUGUUCUUCCUCCAUGCAGGACUUGCAGUUGGGCCGAGAUAAACCGACUUUUAGCACCUUGAGCCAGGAGGAGAAAGCUCGCUCACUGGCACACUCCGGGUGACCCUGCUGUCAUGGUGCAUGCAUUAUGUAGAAGGGGUGGGAGAUAAGGGACGGCAGCGGCGUGGCGAUUAGCAAGGCUGGCAUUAGAAGAUCACGGGGGUAGGGCGAGUUUGACGAAUGAACGGGAGGGCAUCUUUUCCGGGGUCCCCAACAGGACAUAGGUCCACCCCCUCCCUCCCUACAGCACCACACAGGCACAGGCCCAAGCGAUGCGUGGAACGGACGGCUCACGAUUAGCGUCUGCAUGCGGGCCCUGCUGUACUGUCAAGAACGGACAAACUCACAAGCGCACCUGUAAAACUUUGUUAAUCCGUUGCUUUUGGUUAGUACAGCAUCGAAUAUAGUUGCGUGGAUUGUUGUGGUAUUAGGUGAGUGGUGAUGAUGCGGCAGUACUGUUAGUUCGGUAUAUGUCCAGCGUGCAGGACUCAUGUGCAGUGGCGCGCGCAUCUUGAACAAAUAUCCCUUCCCUUCUCAAACGAUGAAUGGAUCCCACAUGCUUAA